GGCGCUUUUACAGCUGGAACGAGUUCUCUAACAGGCACAAGGCUUAGCAAACUAUGCAGGUAAACAUUCAGACACCGUGACCACAGAGCCCAACCUUACAACAGAGCUACGCCAGAGAACCGUGUGUGGAGAAGCAGGACCAUCCGGAAUAACGCACACUACAAGACAGCAGAACAGUACCCCUCCUCAUGAUGAUCAGGACGCCGAACGAUCCCUGACGUUUUUGGAAUGUUUAAGCAGUAUCGACCUCCCAGAACAACAAAAACCUGGAGCUUUGUGCAACAGUGGAGAGUCAGAACCGAUCAUCAUCACAGGACCUGCAACACCUCCGAGUGAGUGGCUGCCUCGUCAUUUCUCUGAUGUU